rnacentral:rRNA from 1 species
AUUGAACGCUGGCGGCAUGCCUUACACAUGCAAGUCGAACGGUAACAGGUUAAGCUGCCGAGUGGCGAACGGGUGAGUAAUGUAUCGGAACGUGCCCAGUCGUGGGGGAUAACUGCUCGAAAGAGCAGCUAAUACCGCAUACGACCUGAGGGUGAAAGCGGGGGAUCGCAAGACCUCGCGCGAUUGGAGCGGCCGAUAUCAGAUUAGGUAGUUGGUGAGGUAAAGGCUCACCAGGCCGACGAUCUGUAGCUGGUCUGAGAGGACGACCAGCCACACUGGGACUGAGACACGGCCCAGACUCCUACGGGAGGCAGCAGUGGGGAAUUUUGGACAAUGGGCGCAAGCCUGAUCCAGCCAUGCCGCGUGCGGGAAGAAGGCCUUCGGGUUGUAAACCGCUUUUGUCAGGGAAGAAAAGGUUCUGGCUAAUACCUGGGACUCAUGACGGUACCUGAAGAAUAAGCACCGGCUAACUACGUG